UACGUAGGGGGCUAGCGUUAUCCGGAAUUACUGGGCGUAAAGGGUGCGUAGGUGGUUUCUUAAGUCAGAGGUGAAAGGCUACGGCUCAACCGUAGUAAGCCUUUGAAACUGGGAAACUUGAGUGCAGGAGAGGAGAGUGGAAUUCCUAGUGUAGCGGUGAAAUGCGUAGAUAUUAGGAGGAACACCAGUAGCGAAGGCGGCUCUCUGGACUGUAACUGACGCUGAGGCACGAAAGCGUGGGGAGCAAACAGGAUUAGAUACCCUGGUAGUCCCUGAG
rnacentral:rRNA from 1 species